rnacentral:rRNA from 1 species
AACGAACGCUGGCGGCAUGCCUAACACAUGCAAGUCGAACGAAACCUCCGGGUCUAGUGGCGCACGGGGGCGUAACGCGGGGGAACCUGCCCUUAAGUUCGGAAUAACUCCCCGAAAGGGGUCCUAAUGCCGGAUAAGGUAUUCGGACCAAAGAUUUAUCGCGGUUGGGUGGGCCCGGGUUGGAUUAGCCAGUUGGGAGUGUAAAAGCCGACCAAGGGGACGAUGCAUAGCUGGUCUGAGAGGAGGAUCAGCCACACUGGGACUGGGACACGGCCCAGACUCCUACGGGAGGCAGCAGUGGGGUAUAUUGGGCGAGGGGCGAAGGCGUGAUCCAGCAGUGCCGCGUGAGUGGUGAAGGCCUUAGGGUUGUAAAGCUCUUUUACCCGGGAUGAUAAUGACGGUACCGGGAGAAUAAGCACCGGCUAACUACGUG